rnacentral:rRNA from 1 species
UACGUAGGGUGCGAGCGUUAAUCGGAAUUACUGGGCGUAAAGCGUGCGCAGGCGGUGAUGUAAGACAGGUGUGAAAUCCCCGGGCUUAACCUGGGAACUGCAUUUGUGACUGCAUCGCUGGAGUGCGGCAGAGGGGGAUGGAAUUCCGCGUGUAGCAGUGAAAUGCGUAGAUAUGCGGAGGAACACCGAUGGCGAAGGCGGCAUCCUGGACCAACACUGACGCUGAGGAGCGAAAGCCAGGGGAGCAAACGGG